rnacentral:rRNA from 1 species
AUUGAACGCUGGCGGCAGGCCUAACACAUGCAAGUCGAGCGGAUGAAGGGAGCUUGCUCCUGGAUUCAGCGGCGGACGGGUGAGUAAUGCCUAGGAAUCUGCCUGGUAGUGGGGGAUAACGUCCGGAAACGGGCGCUAAUACCGCAUACGUCCUGAGGGAGAAAGUGGGGGAUCUUCGGACCUCACGCUAUCAGAUGAGCCUAGGUCGGAUUAGCUAGUUGGUGGGGUAAAGGCCUACCAAGGCGACGAUCCGUAACUGGUCUGAGAGGAUGAUCAGUCACAUUGGAACUGAGACGCGGUCCAGACUCCUACGGGAGGCAGCAGUGGGGAAUAUUGGACAAUGGGCGAAAGCCUGAUCCAGCCAUGCCGCGUGUGUGAAGAAGGUCUUCGGAUUGUAAAGCACUUUAAGUUGGGAGAAAGGGCAGUAAGUUAAUACCUUGCUGUUUUGACGUUACCAACAGAAUAAGCACCGGCUAACUUCGUG